rnacentral:rRNA from 1 species
UGUGGUGGCGAUAGCAAGAAGGAUACACCUGUUCCCAUGCCGAACACAGAAGUUAAGCUUCUUAGCGCCGAUAGUAGUUGGGGGGUUCCCUCUGUGAGGAUAGGACGUCGCCACGC